UUUUGCCUUUCAAGCAAACAACAUUGUUCCCGCCAUUUUUUAGCCUUGCGUGUGGUCUCGCGUGAUGUUCGCGAAUCAUAUUCACCGGUGAAUUUGACUCAUAUUCACCGGUGAAUAUGACUGAAAUUUCCUGCUGCACCAAAUACGAAUGACGUAAGCGCGAUACGAUGAUAAAUUUCACGAUCACAUGGCACAAAUCUAGCUUUCUCAUUGGACAAUUUUAAUUUGAGGUAUAAUAUUA